CUGCCAAAGAAUCGAUCUGUUUCUGGAUAGUAAGCACAGUUUCAGUCAUUUCUUGAAGAUUGCUUUUAAACUGGGAAGAGAAUAUAUUAUAUUGGGUCAUAGAAGUCAUUUUCCCUGCAAUUCCAGUACCAGCACCUAUGGCUAUUCCCAUAGCAACCAAGAGCGGUGUGAUUUGAACUGCCCUCUUAUGUUGAGCAGCUAUCAUAUCUACAACUGGGAUUGGCAGGGGCUCGUUUCCCUGGAUUACUCCCAGUUCAGGGAAAAGGAGUACCAACAUGCAAACUCCUGACCAGAUGGCGGGUAGGUGAUGAUAUACCUGAGUGCCACAAAGAAUUGAUGUGUUCUGGACUGCAGGACAUUGCGGCAAAGAUGAUAUAUUGAGGGUUAUGGUUCUGUUGCAGUCUAGGGAGCUUAGCGGUGCUACAGGAUAAGUCCCAGAGGUCUUAAAACAGUUUGCCAUGCCAAAGAGAGGGAUAGAGGUAAGGUAUGGAGUCAUGGCAACAUCAGAGUCAGGGCAGCUGACAAAGGGUGAGGUAAGGUUGCUUGGCAGUACCACCAGAGAUGCUGUAAGUGACAAUUGUGAGUUAGUUCCAAGGAUACACAUAACCAGAAAUCUUUAAAGCAUCCAGGCCUCGUGAGAGUAAGAUGUUGAGAUGCCGAGGUCAAGCAAAAGGUCUCCAUGCUUUGUCUCUUCUGCCCUAAAAUGGGGGCAAAGCAGGCCCUGGUCAUGUGCUGCAUCUUGUCCCUUGAGGGUCAGUAAGAUGACUAUUGGAGAUCUGUUCUGCUCAGCCUCAGCCUUUGCAUAGAUGCACAUCACAGCCUCCAAGGAGACCCCUUUGGAUAUGUACAAAUAUAAGGUUCUUUGGAAACCUCAGGACAUGAUGACAUCAUGAAGCAACGUGCAAGUCCUAAAAAUAAGAAAGGGAUGAUGACUCUAGACUUUUAUGAGCCAGUAUCAGCCAACUCAACAGCGACUAGUUGAAUAGCACAUCUCGUGAAAGGUGUUGACAUUUACUUCUAAAAGACAAAUUUGUAAUCACAUGGCAGAAAGGAUGCUCCCAUUGUUAUUUAUGUGCCUAGCCAUCAUGAAUAUGAGUGAGAGACCAGAGGAUGGUCACACAAAGUUUCACAUACAUCAUCACAUGAGAAACUUCUCA